ensembl:snRNA U6 U6 spliceosomal RNA
GUAUUCGCUUCAGCAGCACAUGUACUAAACUGGAAUGAUACAGAGAAGAUGAGCAUGGUCCCUGCACAAAGAUGCCAUGCAAAUUCAUGAAGUGUUCUGUAAUACA